rnacentral:lncRNA from 1 species
GGCUCAAUACUCGGCAAAGAAGCGACUUUGUUAAGUGUUUUUUUUCGAGUGUUAUUUUUUGUACUCUGCAAAGAGCCGGUUUCCGGUAGUAUAUUAAGUUUUUUCUAAUUGUGAUGUAUUCACAUAUUUUAUUUUGUAAGAAUUGUAAGGGCAAUGACAAAAUCUAUGAUGUAUUAUAAUAAUAUCUAUCGAGUGUGGUAUUGGGUCGGCCGUGGCACUCAACAAUUCGCUG